rnacentral:lncRNA from 1 species
AAAUGGAAUUUGCACAAUUGUCCUGCCUCCUGUUUUGGGUAAUUUUUAAACAAGUGAGAAAUUAAGAACAGCUUCUCAACAAACUUCCCUCUACUUCCAGGGCCAAGAAAAGUAUUUGCAGAGUGGGCUGCAGCUUUCAGGGGUCUCAGGUGAAAUGGUGGCAAGAAACCCCAGCUCCCUUCAUGUGUUUGCUUUGUGCUGAUGGAAAAGGAAGGCACUUCUCAGCUGCCAGAGACCACAUUCCACAGGGUUCUUCACAAAAUCAAGCACUGCAGUGGACCGACUGGAGUAGCCGCUGGAGGGCUUUAGAAGGCAAAUGGAAUACAUAUCAAAUGCUAUGUAAAGAAACCAUCUGUUUACACAUAGAGUCCCCCACACCUCAUACCCACACCCAAUAUCAAAUGCUGUAUAAAGAAACAUCAGUUUACACACAGAGCCCCCCACAACCUCAUACCCCCACCCAAUAUCAAAUGCUAUAUAAAGAAACAUCAGUUUACACACAGAGUCCCCCACAGCCUCAUACCCAUGCCUGUCACAUCUUUGCACGGCCCUAAAGGAUCCAGAGCUUUGGAUCAGCAGCUGGCUAGCUCGGAGGUCAGAGGAGGGUGCUGAGGGGAGUGGAGGUCAGUUGGGGUAGCCCUGGGCCCUGGCUGCACAGUCCAGCUGCCGUGUGGCCUGCAUGUGGUAUCUUAGGUCAUGAGAGGGCCUGGGCAAUUCAGUGCUAUCUGUACAUGUUGGUGGGGUGGGAAGGAAAAGGUAACUGUGUAUUUACUGUGUCCUGGAUACAUUAUCUCAUCGGAUGUAAUUCCUGCUAAGUUGAGCUCCAUUUAGUGGAUGGGACUUGGAGGCUCAAAGAGGGUAAGUGACAGGCCCAAGGAUAUAUGCCUAGGGAGGGGUGAGCCAGGAUUCGAUGUGUGACUAGUAAGGGGUGUGACUAGUAAGGGGUCAGCCAGGAUUUGGUAUGUGACUAGUAAGGGGACGAGCCAGGAUUCGAUAUGUGACUAGUAAGGGGGUGAGCCAGGAUUCGAUAUGUGACUAGUAAGGGGUCAGCCAAGAUUUGAUAUGUGACUAGUGAGGGAUGAGACAGGAUUUGAUAUGUGACCAGUGAGGGGCGAGCCAGGAUUUGAUAUGUGACCAGUGAGGGGCGAGCCAGGAUUUGAUAUGUGACCAGUGAGGGGCGAGCCAGGAUUUGAUAUGUGACCAGUGAGGGGUGAGACAGGAUUUGAUAUGUGACCAGUGAGGGGCGAGCCAGGAUUUGAUAUGUGGCUAGUGAGGGGCGAGCCAGUCAGGAUUUGAUAUGUGGCUAGUGAGGGGUGAGACAGGAUUUGAUAUGUGGCUAGUGAGGGGUGAGCCAGUCAGGAUUUGAUAUGUGGCUAGUGAGGGGCGAGCCAGGAUUCAAUACGUGACCAGUGAGGGGCGAGCCAGGAUUCGAUAUGCGACUAGUAAGGGGGCGAGCCAGGAUUUGAUAUGUGACCAGUGAGGGGCGAGCCAGGAUUUGAUAUGUGACCAGUGAGGGGCGAGCCAGGAUUUGAUAUGUGACCAGUGAGGGGCGAGCCAGGAUUUGAUAUGUGACCAGUGAGGGGUGAGCCAGGAUUUGAUAUGUGACCAGUGAGGGGCGAGCCAGGAUUUGAUAUGUGGCUAGUGAGGGGUGAGCCAGUCAGGAUUUGAUAUGUGGCUAGUGAGGGGUGAGACAGGAUUUGAUAUGUGGCUAGUGAGGGGUGAGCCAGUCAGGAUUUGAUAUGUGGCUAGUGAGGGGUGGGGGCGAGCCAGGAUUCAAUAUGUGACUAGUGAGGGGUC